UUUAGGUUGCCUGAGGUAUCGUGCCCAUUGAGCGUGGAUAAGGUCGGCUGAUGGCGGGCAUUGGAAUGGUAUGAUUUAUGAUGAGGGGGCAGGUGAGAGGAAGUGGUGAUUAGGAACCACGGUAUGUUUAUUGGCAAGGACGGUUGGGUUACUGUAUAACACUGUGUGUUGUUAUAUAUGUAUGUAUGUUAAUUUAUGCUUAUUUAUGU